UGAGACCUCUCGAUGGCCGCGACCGCGCUUGCGCGGUUGAGGAACUUCCGGGCUCCACAGAGCACGAUGGCGGAUAACGUCCGCCCAGGGCGACCUGAGAGAUAGCGCAGCAGAGAACAGACCGCCGGCACAUGGGCCGGUAAGGGUGAAACGGCGGUGUAAGAGACCACCGGGCCGCUGGCAACAGUCGGCCGCAUGGCAAGCCUCAUCGGGAGCAAGGCCAAGCAGAAGGCGUUUGAGGGCUGCUCGCCCAAUGCCUUCGGGUAGGCUGCUAGAGCCUGACGGCGACGUCAGGUCGAGAUGGAUGGCCAUCCGUGCCCAUAGGGCACGACAGAACCCGGGGUAUGAGGGGUCUCACUUA
rfam:Bifidobacterium pseudolongum PV8-2, complete genome.